GACGAACGCUGGCGGCGUGCUUAACACAUGCAAGUCGAACGGAAAGGCCCUGCUUGCAGGGUACUCGAGUGGCGAACGGGUGAGUAACACGUGGGUGAUCUGCCCUGCACUUCGGGAUAAGCCUGGGAAACUGGGUCUAAUACCGGAUAGGAGCCAUUUUUAGUGUGAUGGUUGGAAAGUUUUUUCGGUGUAGGAUGAGCUCGCGGCCUAUCAGCUUGUUGGUGGGGUAAUGGCCUACCAAGGCGGCGACGGGUAGCCGGCCUGAGAGGGUGGACGGCCACAUUGGGACUGAGAUACGGCCCAGACUCCUACGGGAGGCAGCAGUGGGGAGUAUUGCACAAUGGGCGCAAGCCUGAUGCAGCGACGCCGCGUGGGGGAUGACGGCCUUCGGGUUGUAAACUCCUUUCGCUAGGGACGAAGCUUUUUGUGACGGUACCUAGAUAAGAAGCACCGGCUAACUACGU
rnacentral:rRNA from 1 species